CCUACGGGAGGCUGCAGUGGGGAAUAUUGGACAAUGGGGGGAACCCUGAUCCAGCCAUGCCGCGUGUGUGAAGAAGGCCCUCGGGUUGUAAAGCACUUUCAGUGAGGAAGAACGCCUGGUGGUUAAUACCCAUCAGGAAAGACAUCACUCACAGAAGAAGCACCGGCUAACUCCGUGCCAGCAGCCGCGGUAAUACGGAGGGUGCGAGCGUUAAUCGGAAUUACUGGGCGUAAAGCGCGCGUAGGUGGCUUGAUAAGCCGGUUGUGAAAGCCCCGGGCUCAACCUGGGAACGGCAUCCGGAACUGUCAAGCUAGAGUGCAGGAGAGGAAGGUAGAAUUCCCGGUGUAGCGGUGAAAUGCGUAGAGAUCGGGAGGAAUACCAGUGGCGAAGGCGGUCUUCUGGACUGACACUGACACUGAGGUGCGAAAGCGUGGGUAGCAAACAGGAUUAGAUACCCGAGUAGUC
rnacentral:rRNA from 1 species